GGGUGGGCACCAGGUUAAGAGUUAGGCAUCUCCUUGAGAUGUCCUUAUUUGCUUAGGUCCUGCAUGAAAGCACAUAGUGCCCUAGCUCUUUUGAAAAGCAGGAAAAUCCUGAAAGAAAGCAACACAGAGCUUUCUCCAUUGUGAGGUAGUGAGGAGGGGAUUAGGACACUAGGUGAGAAAGGACAGGCCUAGACAAUGAAGCAAGGGGCGAGUGGGUGGAUGGGUAAAACCACCUGCUCCUCAAAACAGCCAGGCUCUGAGAUGAAGCAGGAAUCUGCACUUAAACCGAGGCUGGAUCCAUCCUAGGGAUUCAAGCCUGUGUUGUCAAGCGAAAACAGAAAAGAGAAGGGAAUUCCACCUUUGCCCACUGAGAACACAUCUAUGCUGAGAACACAUCUACCCAACUCCUCUGUCACAACCCCUGUGAGAAGGUUCUGCCAUCUCCCAGCCCUGAAGAUUGUGAGCUCCCUGAUGGCCCUGGGCCUCCCUCCCGACAGCUGAGGCCCUUCCUGGAUCUCUACACGUCACCAAGCUAAGCCAGUGUUCCAAAAUAGUCUCCUGAACAAUGAUGACAACUGCACAGUUAUUUUGGAAGAACUUCCUGGCAGUGAUGGCAGUGGAACAUUGGAAACAGAGAUGAACAGGAGGUGGGAAGAGGAGGCUAAGUACAUGUAGGCCUAAAAGUCUCUGCCUUGGGAGAUUUUUAACAGUCCUGGAUGGAGCAGAUCCCCUCACUGAGACUUCCAAAGAUUUUUAUCAACAAUUUUAUGUCACUCCCACUAACUCUUUGAAGGUAAAUGGCAGAAUUAAUUUUCCCGUUUAAAAAACAGAAACACAAAGACCCAGUGGAGUCUGCAUUUUCUAGUUUUAGUCAGCCAUUCUGGAAGCUGCGUCCUGGUAACCGCAGUGUCCCAGCUGUGAACUCCGGGCAAGUGUACAGCAUCAUCUUCCAUUCACCAUGUGGUUACUGCACUUCUCAUACAAACUACCUGCGUUACUCAGUUAUCCAGUAUCAAGGACUAUGCCACACUCCUUAGAGCAGAUGCAGGGCACUUAGAGAUUAAUAAAACAGGCCGAGCACAGCCUGUAACCCCAGCACUUUGGGAGCCUGAGAUGGAAGAACUGCUUGAGCCCAGGAGUUCAAGACCAGCCUCGGC
rnacentral:lncRNA from 1 species